rnacentral:rRNA from 1 species
UCAUAGUGAUCCGGUGGUUCUGAAUGGAAGGGCCAUCGCUCAACGGAUAAAAGGUACUCCGGGGAUAACAGGCUGAUACCGCCCAAGAGUUCAUAUCGACGGCGGUGUUUGGCACCUCGAUGUCGGCUCAUCACAUCCUGGGGCUGAAGUCGGUCCCAAGGGUAUGGCUGUUCGCCAUUUAAAGUGGUACGCGAGCUGGGUUUAGAACGUCGUGAGACAGUUCGGUCCCUAUCUGCCGUGGGCGUUGGAAGAUUGAAGGGGGCUGCUCCUAGUACGAGAGGACCGGAGUGGACGAACCUCUGGUGUUCGGGUUGUGUCGCCAGACGCAUUGCCCGGUAGCUAAGUUCGGAAUCGAUAACCGCUGAAAGCAUCUAAGCGGGAAGCGAGCCCUGAGAUGAGUCUUCCCUGAUACUUUAAGUAUCCUAAAGGGUUGUCGGAGACUACGACGUUGAUAGGUCAGGUGUGUAAGUGCUGUGAGGCAUUGAGCUAACUGAUACUAAUUGCCCGUGAGGCUUAACCAUACAACACC